rnacentral:lncRNA from 1 species
AGAAGUACUGGGGUGAGGUGAUUAGGCGGGGCAUGGAACAGUUACAGCUUACCGAGGACAUGACCCUAGAUAGGAAGGUCUGGAAGACGCGAAUUACGGCAGAGGAUUAGGGCCUGUUCGGGUCGCUAAUGUAGGGAGGUAAUUGGUGGGGGUGUAUUCCUGGUAUGAUUCCGUAUUUCAAUGUUCUGUUCCGUGUUCCGUGUUCUAUGUUUGUUACGAAUCUGUGUGCUUUCCUCUGCUUUAUAUUCCUGCAGUCCUGCUUUACUCUGUUUUAUAUUCCUUAUGGCUGCAGUAUCUAUGUUAUGUCAUCUGCUUCUGUGCUGUACUAUGUGUUUGUUUGAUAUCUCGUAACUUGAGCCGGGGGUC